CCUACGGGUGGCAGCAGUGGGGAAUCUUGCGCAAUGGGCGAAAGCCUGACGCAGCCAUGCCGCGUGAAUGAUGAAGGUCUUAGGAUUGUAAAAUUCUUUCACCGGGGACGAUAAUGACGGUACCCGGAGAAGAGGCCCCGGCUAACUUCGUGCCAGCAGCCGCGAUCAUACGAAGGGGGCUAGCGCUGCUCGGAAUUACUGGGCGUAUAGGGAGUGUAGGCGGACUGUUAAGUUAGAGGGGAAAGCCCAGGGCUCAACCUUGGAAUUGCCUUUGAUACUGGCAGUCGUGAGUACGGAAGAGGUGUGUGGAACUCCGAGUGUAGAGGUGAAAUUCGUAGAUAGUCGGAAGAACACCAGUGGCGAAGGCGACAUACUGGUCCGUUACUGACGCUGAGGCUCGAAAGCGUGGGGAGCAAACAGGAUUAGAUACCCUGGUAGUC
rnacentral:rRNA from 1 species